GGAUGUGAGGGCCAUCUGGCUGCAACAUCUGUCACCCCAUUGAUCGUCAGAGUUGACUUGGCUGAUCUGGCUAGCUAGAUGGUUGUCCCAUUCCUCCUCUUCAUUGCAUGUGCAUCCUGCACCUUGGUCAAAGAGAACGACCUUCCCUACUACAGGACCAUUCUUUGGUCAAGGUCAAGGGUAUACCAGUAGCUGUCCUCUCCUGCUAGAACCUCUAAACAAGCUCUCAAGGUUCAUUUGUAGGAAAAGGAAGGGUAGUCAAGCUUCCAAAACUCCAGACUCAUACAAAUGAGGCGCUGCAUGUAGCAGUCUGCCUUAA
rnacentral:snRNA from 1 species